rnacentral:ncRNA from 2 species
GGCUCUUCCUAUCAUUGUGA